rnacentral:piRNA from 1 species
CUCACUGUCUGAGCUGAAGAAUC